rnacentral:rRNA from 1 species
AACGAACGCUGGCGGCGUGGAUAAGACAUGCAAGUCGAACGGGACAACAUCUGUAGCAAUACAGAUGUUGUUUAGUGGCGAACGGGUGCGUAACACGUGGGCAAUCUGCCGAAAAGUGGGGGAUAGCUCGCCGAAAGGCGAAUUAAUACCGCAUAUGGUCAGGGAAGACAUCUUCCUGAAUCCAAAGCCGGGGUAACCUGGCGCUUUUUGAGGAGCCCGCGGCCUAUCAGGCAGUUGGUGAGGUAACGGCUCACCAAGGCUAUGACGGGUAGCUGGUCUGAGAGGACGACCAGUCACACUGGAACUGAGACACGGUCCAGACACCUACGGGUGGCAGCAGUCGAGAAUUUUUCUCAAUGGGGGAAACCCUGAAGGAGCGACGCCGCGUGGAGGAU